GACGAACGCUGGCGGCGUGCUUAACACAUGCAAGUCGAACGGAAAGGCCCUGCUUUUGGGGGGUGCUCGAGUGGCGAACGGGUGAGUAACACGUGAGUAACCUGCCCUUGACUUUGGGAUAACUUCAGGAAACUGGGGCUAAUACCGGAUAGGAGCUCCUGCUGCAUGGUGGGGGUGGGAAAGUUUCGGCGGUUGGGGAUGGACUCGCGGCUUAUCAGCUUGUUGGUGGGGUAGUGGCUUACCAAGGCUUUGACGGGUAGCCGGCCUGAGAGGGUGACCGGCCACAUUGGGACUGAGAUACGGCCCAGACUCCUACGGGAGGCAGCAGUGGGGAAUAUUGCACAAUGGGCGGAAGCCUGAUGCAGCAACGCCGCGUGCGGGAUGACGGCCUUCGGGUUGUAAACCGCUUUCGCCUGUGACGAAGCGUGAGUGACGGUAAUGGGUAAAGAAGCACCGGCUAACUACGUG
rnacentral:rRNA from 1 species